rnacentral:sRNA from 1 species
UAUUCUGCCCCACGGGGAAGGAUGAGAAGCUUCGACUAAGGUUCGACUCGAGCGAAGCGAGAGAACGUUGCCGCAGGCAACGGCCCGAAGGGCGAGGAGCGAUAGCGACG